rnacentral:rRNA from 1 species
GAUCAUGGCUCAGGACGACGCUGGCGGCACGCUUAACACAUGCAAGUCGAACGGAGAAUUUUGGUUUACUGAGAAUUCUUAGUGGCGGACGGGUGAGUAACACGUGAGCAACCUGCCUUUGAGAGAGGGAUAGCUUCUGGAAACGGAUGGUAAUACCUCAUAACGUAACUUAAAGACAUCUUUUAGUUACCAAAGAUUUAUCGCUCAAAAGAUGGGCUCGCGUCUGAUUAGGUAGUUGGUGAGGUAACGGCCCACCAAGCCGACGAUCAGUAGCCGGACUGAGAGGUUGAACGGCCACAUUGGGACUGAGACACGGCCCAGACUCCUACGGGAGGCAGCAGUGGGGAAUAUUGCACAAUGGGGGAAACCCUGAUGCAGCGAUGCCGCGUGGAGGAAGAAGGUUUUCGGAUUGUAAACUCCUGUCUUAAAGGACGAUAAUGACGGUACUUUAGGAGGAAGCUCCGGCUAACUACGUGCCAGCAGCUGC